CUUUUUCAUUCACGAUUUGAUGUUCUAUAUUCCUCUCUAGUCUAGAUUCCUCGUCGAUUCUUCCCCUCGUUCUUAAUAUCUUGGACAUCUCACUUUUCCAUGCAACGCAUUCUUUUCGAUCUUGUACCCGCGCAUAGGCUACACAAGCGGUACACUGAACACCAACCCAAUCUCGAUGAAAAAAGUAGAAGCAACUAAACUCAAGAAGGGUGACGAAGCUUCUUUGCAUCCCAUAGUGCUGUCGCACUAAGCGACUACCGUUCCAGAGUCGUACAACGAAGUGAUUAGCAUACCAGAGUGACGCAAGGCUCUAAGCUCGUACCUUAUAAGUAAGCUCUUUAUGCUCUCUCCGCUCGCUCCUUUUCGUAGCGUAGAUCUUUCUUCUCUUAAGAGAUUUUGAGAAGAGUGAGUGCGCUUUCGAAAGUUUCGACUUUUCGAUCUUUCUUCCCUUAGCGCACAAGCACUAAGCAAGUAAACUACCUUUUUUCUUCUCUUUCGUCCCCUUUUUUUGUUUUUUUUUUUUUAAUAAUCCAGAUAUCUCCGAGAAACUACACUAAAGGGAACUGUUAAGUACAGACGAUGCCUAGAAAUGAUAGUAACACCUGGGUCGAAAUACCAAAUCCCAGCUUAAGUCCAAAAGGCCUACACUUUAACUAGGAACAGAAAGGUCCGCGAAAUAACCGCGUUGCUCGAUCAGUGAAACCUGAGUGAUGGUCUUCUGGGACGAGACAUUCGUAAUGGAUCCAUCAUAGACGUUAUUUUAGAUGGUUCUAAUUGUGGGCGAUAGUCUUCAACUAGGGGGAUCCGGAGUUUCCGAAAUCUAUACUAGUUUGCCCAGUAAUGUUGUGGCUGCAAUGCGUAGGCCGUCGUUCUCUGAUCCAUUCUUUAGGUGAGAGGAAACCUUCUCUUUCAAAAUGAAUGGAAGGUAAAAAAGAGGAACUGCCUGUAGAUAAGUAUAUAGACAUGCUAUUUUGAUGUGAUGUAAGAAUCGAUUCUCACAUAAUAUACUAUAUUAAGUGACUUACUCCCCAAAAGCAUGCUAUGCUCAAAGGGAGAAGCCGGUCCGCCCGAUUUCAGUUGAAGUCAAUUCACGGGGAAGAAAGAGCUGGCGAUCUUCACUCGUCCAUCACUCCCACUUGAAGUUAAGAGGUAGUAGGAGCAUGAGAUGAGGGCUCACACAGAGACGAAUGUUGUCAAAGCUACUAAGGAAUAAAAAACCCCAGGAAUUUUGUUCUUAUUCUUAUGGGGAAGAGUGAACACUAUGACUGGUGGGGCCCCCUCCUUAUUUGAGUUCGCACCUGAGAAUCGUAUCAUCAAAAAGACAUUGACUGGACUUGAGAGCAUUCUCAUUGAGUAGGUAUGAUCGCCAAUAACUUGACUUUGAUUUCACUCUGACUUGCCCAAAUCUAUGAAUUGCGUCAUAUAAGGAUCAAGAUAGAUUACUUUUGUCAUAUUGAUCAUCAGUCAAAGGGGCGGGUUAGGCGAGAGUAGGCAACUAGCCCAUCCUUGCUAGAACAAUUGACUACCAGACUUGUAUACAAGAAUCAAAGAGACAGGGGCUCUAUCGAUGAGAGCUUAGGUGAAGGCUCGAAUAGCUUAGUUGUUAGUUGAAAGACUCUGUAUGGGAUGUUCUUUCUAUAGAGUGAUAAACGGAGGGAUCUUGCUUUCUAAAAGCCAUAGUCAGGCAGAAGGCAGUGUGCAGUCAGCCAGUAGAUGACGCCAGAGAGGGAUUUGUCAAAGCACGGAUAGGAGCUCUACCACGAUAUGAUCUCUCUCAUUGAGAAAGCGCUAUCAAAGCCGCUGUCCCAAUAGCUUCGUUCAGGAGCGAACAACCACUAAAUUGCUUGUUAAAUGGAGGAGCGGAAGGGGCAAAGUCAACGACUGAGGCCAGAAGGUAUGUGAAAGUAGAAGCCAGGGACAGAGAGAGCGGAGGAGAGGACUGAUUGAAUGAAUGUCAUUUCACGCUGAUAGGAAUGGGGGUUAUCCCUGUCUAUUCUAUUUCUCCUGUCUUAUUGAUCAAUGGUGUGCCAUGAGAUGCUUCGCCCGGAGGAUCAUUCAUGGUGAAGAUCCCAACAUGAUCUACUCGGUCAAGUCUGAUUAAAGCACUCCAACCAACCCAACAAAAGAAGCAACGGGUACUACUGGAAUGAAAUCGGCAUCUAAUUUCAUUUCUUAGGUCUGGGUCGGGAUCCAAUUCUCUUAUAGAAGAAAUGGAUUGAUAUGGAUUUUUCCCAGCCGCAUUGUCAUCAUCUCACUUCCUCUUCAUGACAGAAAAGGAGAAGUUGCUUGACUCAGUGUACGAGGUUAAUGAGGGGCUACUUAAUGAAAAGAUAAACCCGCCACUAGAGCGGAAGAAGGAUUCUAUACUCUAUUUGACGAUACCAGCAAGUCCGUCUUCUCGGCUGACGUGACGGCUGAAUGGAUUGAUGAUUCAUCAACGGGCACAGGCCAAUUCAAAGCGGCUUAGAAGCAUCAAGGGAAAAACUGGGUGAAAGUCUCCCAGGUUAGUGUGCAGAUAGAGGACUUCUUUCACAAGGGGGAGCGUACCAACCAAGACAAAAACAAUCAGACAAGACGAACAUCGUGAGAUGAGCCUCAAGCCCCAAAGGAAGGGCACUCACAAAAGAUCUUGCUGCGCGAGAAUCAGGUCUGAUACAAGCAGUUCCUCGCCUGGGACAAUAACUGACGAUAGAUAGCGAGGGGGGGGUACGAGUUCCAACUAGGACUGUCAUAGGAGCGUCAAGCCACUCAAGUUAGAGGAGCGGUUUUCCACUCUUAACCGUUGCACACGAAAGAGGAUCGGAGGCCCCCUCAACCUCUUAAUCAAGGCGCCCCAUCUACAUCUAUGUCAGCAGCAUCAACCGGGACUAUACCCAUUUACUAUUCAUACUAGGUCAAAGGAAAAUCGAAAAGACCAACGACUUGUCUAAAAGAAUCAAAGAUCCACGAGCUGAGCUUGAUCUUACAAACGCAAUUUAUUGAUUAGUGAUUUUUAUCAGUCUACCAAAAAGAAAGCGAGUCCUCUGCUCGGUAAAGGAGCAUUCAGGCAUCGGGGGAAGAGCUCAAAGCCGGGGAGAGCCCUGUGUCCCGCUGAUAGAAUGGAAAGGGAAGGGUCAGCAUCGAUAGACGCUCGAAAACCAUCGGCGUAGGGGGUCCCCCUUUUCACCAAAGAAGGGACGAGCCGCAUUGACGAUGAAGAAAAGGUAACACGAAAAUAGAACAGCGGGUCUUUCUUUUCGGUCUUUACUGAAACAGAUACACGAGCUUCAUCUCAUGCAUGAUCUUUUCAGAGCACGGGUCGGGAGGACAUUGCAAAAACGCCAGUGGAGGUCUGGUCUCAAAGUCUAGUCUUUCUUCUCCUAUCACUGCCUUUGGGGAACGAGCAGGUGAAGAGCUUAGUGUAACGGUCUGGAGCGCAGCCUCUUACUAAGAGAAUAGAUGCCACGCAAACACAGAAAAAGGGCAAGUGGGUAAAGGAGUAGACUAGCCGGCAAAAGGAAAGAAAGUCGGAAUAAGCGGUUAGGCUUAGAGCUGUUAACGGAUAUGGAAAACUACCUUACAAAGCUGCUACCUACCUUGGAAGGUCAGCGGAAAGAGCUAGAACAACGGGAAAAGAGCUGGGAGUUCGGCUAAGGGAAGUGGGGAAGGGAAUGAGGAAGGAUAAGACGGAAGACGAGAAGCCGGCCAAGCAGUUGCUUUAAAAAGGCAAGCUGUAGGAGUAGGCAGUUCAUAGAGGUAGUUAAAGACUCCAUCUUCUGGUGGUUACUAUUCGGUGAAGUAAGAGGAUGCAGGAAAGGAAGAGAUACAGGAAGCGGUUAGGCGGCUAAGAAAGUCAUCAGGUAGGUAAGCAAGCCGCCCUGGUGCCAAGCUAAGUCCCAAGCUAAAGACAAGGAUCACAUCGAUAAGAGAAAAAGCAAAGACGGCUUAUGCCGAAUAUCUUGAACUCAAAGAAAACCAAGCCUAACGACUUUACUUUCAUACCAGGAAAUCGAAGAUGUGCCAAAUCAUUCUCUAUCGAAUCGUAGUCUAGAGCCAAAUGAAACUGAUUCCAUACGAUUCAGUCUGUCAGUUGCAGCUAACAGAUCUUGGUCAUAGCAUCAGCUCGAAGUCAAAAAGGCCUUUCUUCAUGGAGACCUCCACGAAGAGGUUUAUAUGAGUCCUCCACCAGGUUUUCGAGCUCAGGGGUAGAAAUAAAUACGGACUUAAAAUAGUGGAGACUGAACCCUCUACGGAGAUGAUAGAAGAUAUGAACCGCUCAAUCGAUACGAUAGAAGAGGAGCUCCGAAGGUUCCUCUCUUCACUCUUCUCGGAUGAUAAGUCGAGCUAACCUAUUCAUAAGGUGAGCUAACCUAUCCCAUAAGCCCCUAGAGUUAACUUGUCUUUGACUUUUAGUUCAUUACUUUAUUCAGGUCGAAAAGAAUGACGCGGAUCAUGGAGCAGGUUCUCAAGCAAUCCCAUAAGUGGUAUGCAAGAAAGGUAUCAGUAUAGAAGGUUGGAAGUUUCCCAGCCCGGGGGGAGUGUCCGUGAGUGUUGGUGAACGGUAUACGUAGAACAGGUGAGUAAAGAGUUGUCCUUUGAGCUCUUAGCUCUUUUGGUACCGUCGGUAUUGCUUCUUUCUUUCAAGUUUUCCUAGGCCUACAUCCCUUGGUCCACGGAUUAGCAAAGCGGGCCGAUGAGAUGAAUUGGUUCCGGGGUAUGCCUGCCGAGGUAGGCAGGGCAAUAAGGGCAAGGUUGCGGGAAGAGUUUCAAAACUAGGCGAGAGUCCUUCACUGCACUCACAGGAGAGAAGGGAUCAUCUCGAUGCCCUCUAUCGACGAUAGUUCGACAGACUACUUUUGCGAUGUCUGUCACAUGAAGAAGCUCAGCAAGCCUUGCAAGAAGUACAUGCUUUACUAAUGCAUAGUAAUAGUGGUUUGCUGGGUUGGUUUUGCUCUCUACCUUCUCACGGGGAUGGAAACAAGAGAGGUCAACUGGAGUGGAAGCCAAACGAAACGACAGGGCCGAAAAUCUGUGAUCAACCCGAAGAACCCUUACCUUGAUGCCUACAUAAAAAUUGAUUUGACAGUGAUGGCAAGAAUCCGAGAAAGACUGUUUUUUCUUUUUCUUAUUCUUGUGUUGUUUCUGAAUGGCAUCAUAGCUACACGAGGGAAAGCGAUGCUGCCUACUCUUAGACCCAUUUCGAUCGAGCGGCAACCGCUGCUGUGGUAUGGUCCAGUGUUGAAACUGGCUAACAUAGGGCAAGGGUCCUGAUGGGCAAGUAUAAAUAGAAGAAGCAGCUCCUCUCACUGCCCCGUAUAGGGUUCUGGGCCUCGUAUUUCAAAGAAGGACUAUUACUAAGGGAAAGAAACCCCCGGAUAUUGACCUACCGUCAACUUCGAACUCUCACUCUCCUUCAGCCGAUUUAGAUACCAAAUCGUCUCUCUUGGAGAGAGGUGCAGAAGCUCUCCCUUUAACUCAGGGGGCCUUCCACCACUUCGACUGAUGCGGACGCAGUUCUAUCGUCGUGAAAACUCGGUGUUUCCUCAAUCUGAAUAGAUCAAUCUGGAUUAUAGGCCAGCAAGCCCGGAACCAGCAAGUGGGAGCCUGCUGGCAAAGAGAAUGUUAGUGAGUCUUAGCCAUGAUCAGACGAAUGGUGUUAAAGACANAGAGGUAUAGGAGAAUGGAAGACCAAAGAGACCCAACUCAUAUCGUACCAAGAACUUGCCAUUGACCUGAUCAAGCGCUUUAGGGAGAUCACCUUCACCCAUGUUCCGAGAAUAGAAAAUCGCUUGGCUGACUCGCCAGCCCUUAUGGAAUUCAUACUCAGCCGCUCUAGUACACAUGCUAGUACACCGAAGCACAGAGUCGCUUGUCAUCGACAUCCGAGCCACAGAGAGCCCUUCCGCCGAACGGGACUCAUUUCUCUUCUUGGAUGAAGACUAUCGGGAGUUGGAACAUGAUGAACUAUCACCAGUCAAGACGAGGAAGAUUACGAGGACGAUGGGAACCAUGGUAUUAUUCUUUCUACAAUUACCUCAAGACGGGUUCAUACCGGAGUACGCCACUCGUGGCCAGAGGAGAGCCCGGAGGGAACUUUCCCGACGAUUUGUGAUCUUGGGAGAUGUCCUUUACAAAAGGUCACGUGCCCUUCUGAAAUAAGGAGCACACAUUGUUGAACAAGCUCAUUCAAGUGGGUGUAGAGGACACGUCAACAUCCAAAUGCUUGCCAAGAAAAUCAUGAGGCAAGGCCCCCUAUUAAAAGUAAGGGUGUCAAGAGAUGUCAGAAAUGUAAACUCCUUUUAUCUGAUGGAAUUUUCUUUCAAAAUGCUGCAUCAUGUCGAAUGGCGGGUCCAUCGUCUAUCCCCAAGGUAAGACCCCGAAUGAAAAAAACGUACCUUCGAAGGCAUGAUUGCUGCGAUCAGGAGCUGCUUAACAUCAUUGAGAACAGGAGAUCAGAAGAUUUGGUGGAGGAUAAAGUCAAAAGUGAACCAACACUGGGAUCUGAUCAUAGCCGCCGUGAAGUGUUUGGAUGCAAAGGCGAUGGUUUUUAGAUUCGGCAAACAUGAGAUGUGUCCUGCACGAAGUACAUCGAAUUUUGGAGAUAUCCCGUAAUGUCNAAAAGCGAAAUCAACUGCACUUUACUUUUUCGGAUAGGUUUUCCUCUAGAACUCUACCGGAUGCUUGUACCAAUCGUGCAAAAGUACCAAGCUAAUAUUGAUAGGUCGCUAAGGAGAAACCCCUCAAAAACCCAACAAAGCGGACCAAAGGCCAAAUCGAGAUAGAUGUUCCAACUAGUAAUCAUCUCAUUUCCUAUCGGCAUUGUCAGAAGCUCAGUUCCUUUUCAUCACAGGACAAUAUCCGAGCAGAAUCAGAGGACAAUCGAACAGCUACAAGCUAAGAUGAAGAGUCUAAGUGACGAGCCUUUUAAUGCCGGGUUAAGGCAAGGGAAGCGAGAACAUUCAAGCGGAGAGAGAUUGUUCCCAGCAUGGAUUCUUUGCCAGCAGUUCCCCUCGAGCUAGCCUAAGAGCUAAGGAGAGGACUUACUUUGUUUUCUUUCCUACGCAAGUCUGGUUCUGUCUCGGGUAGUUCGAGUAGUAGUAGCGAGCCUGUAUAUACAUAUAUUCUAUUUCAUUAGGAUAAACACCCGGCUGAAGCCUUGUUGCUUGCUUGUCUAGCUCUGCUGCUCGUGAAGAGCUAGAUCCAUAACAUUCACACCUGGCUACUCGCUCUGUUGCGGAUUUAGUUUCAGGGUUCGUUUUGACUGAUUCUUUAGUUGAAGCAACUGAUGAAUUCAAGUUAGUUGAUUUUAAUCCUUAAUUGUUAACCCAUAAAUUACAAUUAAGGCUAGGAUCCAUAUUUUCUAUUUGAGCUUUGAAGAGGGAUGUCAUAAUCAAAUUCAAAUCUAUUUUAGGUAGGUAAAGCUUUUACUAAUUUCAAUCUUAUGAAACUCCUAGAUCUUUUGAGAUUCAUUAAACUAUUCAAUGACAUGUUUAAUCUCGAUUAUGCUCUCACUUUGUGACUAGGAUGCCAAGGAUCACAAACAAGAUGUGAAUAACCUUGCAAAUUAGCUUAGUACUCUCGAUGUCAUUUAUCACCUCCUUUUAAUGUGUCGGUUAACCACACACACUCCAUUAAUUAAUGAUAAUUUAUGAGACACCUAUUGCCAAUCCUUAUUAGUCCAUAUUAGUGUGUCGAUUACCCACACACACUCCACUAACAACCAAUAAGGUGCAAUGUGUAAUUUCAUGGAUUAGCAUCAACUUCACAUUUUUCCUAAAGUAACUAAGAGUGGGAUUUUAAAAAAGAGUUUAGUUACUUUUAUCAUUAGACUUUUAGUAAGGUUAUGUCCUAUCAAACCCGUUAGGCUAACGACCCUUCACCAAUCAAGGAAGCGGUGGGUGAGAGUGGACACCCAUUCAACUACCAUUUUAUAGGCAAUUUCCUUAUACCCCCUUAUAGAUCGGCUUCGUGAAUGAGGCGUACUAAUGGUUCGAAUGCCUUAGUGUGAAACAUAUAGUAUAUAUUAAACUUUUUAAUUAUAUAUAUAAUAUAAGGUAUAUUUUAAAACAUUUUAAAAUAGCAAGGGUUUAAUCUUUUAAUAAAUUAAACUUUUAAUUUAAUUAAAUUUAACCCAUCUUAUGGAUUUAUUGAUUAUCUUUUCAUUAAUCAUUUAAUUAAAUUAAUAAUAAGAUCCAUAAGGAUGUAUUUUAAACUUUUCAAAAUACUUGGGUUUUUAAUCCUUAAAUUUCGAAAUUAAACAACUUAAUUCAAAUUUACUAUUAAAAACAAAUGAUUUAAUAAUUAUACAUUAAUUAAACCUUUAAUUAAUUUAUUAAAUUAGAUAUGGAUUAGCCAAUUAAAUUAAUCAAGAUAAUUUAACCUAAUCCACUCCCCCCCUAAAAUUUGAAAAUCAUGGGAGGGAUUCUCCAAAUCUUAUAAUUAUCUUGAAAAUCAAAUAAGGAGAUAAUUACCUAAAAUAAGAAAUCCCUACCAAAAACCCUAAUUUUCGAAAAAGGCAAAUCCUGGGGAGGAAGGCAAGGAUUUCUAUUCUUGCCAUAUUUCGAAAAUCUACAGGGUUAGGAAACCCAAAUGUUUGAAACUUGUAGGACAAAAGAAAGGAUUGAAACCCUUUUCCAAAAUUUUGAAAUCUAGGGUUAAGAAACCCUAAUUUGCGAAAACCCUAAGUCCAAAGGGUUUAUUUGCCAUAAACCCCAAUUGAUCAAAUUCAAACAAUUGUCAUCAAAUUCAAUAGAAAACAAGCCAAGACUCUUAUACCACUUAUGGGUUUUGAGCAUAACAAACAAAAAACCUAUGUGUGCAUGUAACCCUAAUUAAAGAUCUAUGUUUUCUCUAAUUGAACAUACAACUUUUAACAUAAAAUAAGAAACCCUAGAAAACUAUCAAUAAUCUGAUAUUAGUUACGAUUUACAUAUAUUUUAGUUAUUGUAGUAAAUAACUAAUUAAAACCUUCUUGAAAAACUCUUGGAAGCAAGCACCACAAGUGUCAUGCCUUUAAUGGUUAACACCCAAACCCUAGCAACCAAGGAGCAUGAAGAGAGAGAGAGAGAGAGAGAGAGAGAGAGGAGAAUAGUGGAAUUUCGACACUAAGCCUCCAAUGGGAAGUGUUGAACGAAAAGCUAAGGCCAAGGGUGCUUUUAUAGUUAAGGUAGCUUGGUGCUAAAGGUAGGGUUUAAGGAGGAAACCCUAAUCCCUGUGCUUGGUUACCAAGCAACCCAUUCCCCUCUUUUAAGGGGCUUAGACGAAAUUCCUUGGGCUUUCCCAAGAGAUUUUCGUCCACCUCAUCCAAUGAGGUCCAUAGGCUCCUUUCCUUAACUUUCAAUAAAUAACAAAAUAAACCUUGCACUUUUAAUUAAUCCAAUUAAUUUCUGAUUAAUUAUUAAUUAAAUAAUAUGAUUUCUAAUUAAUAUAUUAUUCUCACAAUAUAUUAAUAAAUCAUUUAUUAUGAUUUCUAAUUAAUUUAUUAAUCGUACAAUAAAUUAAUAAAUCAUUCUCUCUCUAAAAUCCAUCCUAUUCAAUUGCUAGGUUUGAGGGCAACCCAAAGGACUAUGCUACUUUCAAUUCAAGUGUAUACCAAUUAUAGUUAUGAGCUUAGACACCUAAUCAAACAAUAUGAAACCCUCAUGGUAUGUCCUUGCAUUGUCAAGGGUCAAAUCUCGGUCUUACAUAAAAGUGUCAUGGGCUACCCCAUUGUCUUUCCUUGCAAUGCCGAGGGCCAAAUCCUGGUCUUACAUACAAGUGACAUAGGUUACCCCCAUGUUAUUUUCUUGCAAUAUUGAUGGCCAAAUCCCGGUCUUACAUGAAAGUGACAUGGGCUACCGACAUGGUCUUUUAUACAAUUACCAGGGUCCAGAUCAUGGUCUUUCAUGCAAUUGAUAGGGGCUAGAUCUAGGUCUUUCAUGCAAGUAUCAUGGAGACAACUAACAUUCUACAUAACAAAGUAAUGGGUCGGCAUUGGUGCCUUCGACCCAUUGAUACAAUAAGAAAACUCACCUCACAGCCUGAAAAAAUAGUUGUACCGAUCACUGCUCUAAAAGCUAUCUUUGUCGGUCACCUAUUAAAUUAACAGGAACCCAAAUCUCAAACUAUAAAUCAAAUUACCCAAAAUGCCCUUAGGUGAAAUUUGCUCAAAGUCAACAGUGAAGGUCUACAAGUUAAUAUUCCUUCCGAGCAGAGUACGCCAUGCUUACCAAGAGAGUACGCCCAGCGUACUUUGAAGUUGACCAAAAGCGGGGUGAUGACCGCGUACGUGCACCGUACCUCCAGGUACGCCCAACGUACACAACUCAGUCCCAUAACCCCAUUAAAAAGUUAUUCUAUUAAGCCCUUAUGUCCAAAACUCGUAUCCAAGCCCAAAAUGAUGUCUUAAUUCAUAAAGUUUCCAACUUCAUGACGUUUUAUGGCUAUAAAGUACUUAAUGUCCAAAACCCUAAAUUCUUAACCCAAUAAGACAUCAUAACUCUUGUAUGGAAGGGAUAUAAGGGCCAAUAUCACAUUUUUAUGGUUCAUAAUGGUUCCAUAAUGGAUAAAGUGGCCAAAAGCUCGUAACACCCAAAACUAGCAAGAUCUAACAAUUUCAUCAUCAAGAUUCAAACUUUAUACCUCUAGAAGAAAGAUCAAGGUGAACAAAGUAUGGAUCUACAAGCUCCAAUGCAACCAACACUUCUUCAAUGAGUUACAUCUUCUCCAAGGUGCACCGAGAACACUCCAAACCACUUAAAAACACCUCUUUUUCCUCACAAGGUUCAAUCUAGGUUUGGGGUUACAAUAGAGUGGUUUGGAGACGUGGGGGAUGAGAAUGGAAUGGGUUUGUGGAAGUUAAGGUGCUUAAGUAGGGAUCAAACCACGAAAAUAGGGUUUGGGCACUGAUCGUGUACCAUCGAAGUACCUGAAACAUAACCCAAAACUGUAAGCCAACACUUAUUGAGUUCCCCCAUAGUACCAACACACAAAACAAAUAACAUAUACGAUAACAGCAUGUCAGGCCCAAUAAAACAUCGGGUUGGAAUACCCCAUGCCCCUCAACCAUUGGGUUGGAAUGCCAAUACACUAUGGGUCCAGUCAACUAUUGGGUUAGAACACCCUAGGCCCCUUAAUCAUUGCGUUGGAAUGCCAAUACA
rnacentral:lncRNA from 1 species